rnacentral:misc_RNA from 1 species
UCCGGUUUGUCACCGGCAGUCUCAUUAGAGUGCUCAACUGAAUGUAGCAACUAAUGACAAGGGUUGCGCUCGUUGCGGGACUUAACCCAACAUCUCACGACACGAGCUGACGACAGCCAUGCAGCACCUGUGUGCAGGUUCUCUUUCGAGCACGAAUCCAUCUCUGGAAACUUCCUGCCAUGUCAAAGGUGGGGAUGACGUAGACCGGACC